rnacentral:rRNA from 1 species
UACGGAGGGAGCUAGCGUUGUUCGGAAUUACUGGGCGUAAAGCGCACGUAGGCGGCUUUGUAAGUUAGAGGUGAAAGCCUGGAGCUCAACUCCAGAAUUGCCUUUAAGACUGCAUCGCUUGAAUCAUGGAGAGGCGGGUGGAAUUCCGAGUGUAGAGGUGAAAUUCGUAGAUAUUCGGAAGAACACCAGUGGCGAAGGCGACUUACUGGACACAUAUUGACGCUGAGGUGCGAAAGCGUGGGGAGCAAACAGG